GUGUCAGCAGCCGCGGUAAGACAGAGGUGGCGAGCGUUGUUCGGAUUUAUUGGGCGUAAAGCGUACGCAGGCGGUUUGGUAAGUCAGAGGUGAAAGACCACAGCUUAACUGUGGCACUGCCUUUGAUACUGCCUUUCUAGAGUGCAUGAGGGGGAAGCGGAAUUCCGAGUGUAGAGGUGAAAUUCGUAGAUAUUCGGAGGAACACCGGUGGCGAAGGCGGCUUCCUGGCAUGUAACUGACGCUCAUGUACGAAAGCGUGGGUAGCAAACAGGAUUAGAUACCCCAGUAGUCC
rnacentral:rRNA from 1 species